GUUCACUUCCUUCUGAGCCGAGAGAAGUUAGUCUCGUGGUUCGUCGAGGCAUUAAACGGUGUUUACUUAAAUGAAGAGAGUCACAAAAUUCAUGUUUUCAACAUAUUUCCCCAUUUAUGCAGAAAAUAAAGACAGUGCCAAGCAAUGAGAGGUCUGAAGUUUCUUUAUUGAGUGACAUCAACACAACGCAGAGUGGAUUCCCUUACCUGGGACCCGAUACAAUGUACAAUGUUAACUCCGGCAAGUAUGGGGGUAGAAUCGUUGCAUAAUUCCAAAUAAAUACAUUA